GGAGAAAACAGAGAGAGAAAGAGUUUAAUGAUAAGAAUUGAGUUCCUGCUCAAGCAUUGUGGUUGCCUUUAGGCACGAACCAAUCACUAAGUCUAGUUUUAUAGUAUUAUUGAGAUACAAUUAAUCAAUCUGCGACUGUCAAAAUGUCAUUCUGUCUAUGUGCAGCAUCAAAAGUAUUAAAACGCGAUACAACAAAGGCACCGAGGGCUGAAGAAUGCCAGAAGACAUGCCAGACUAAUGCUGCCAUGUGUGAAGAAAGCAAGUCAUAUGGAUUUGGAACAACAUGCGGCAUUUUCCCUGCUUGGUUUCCUUUCAACAGCAGCAAUGGGCAGUAAAAAUGGCUGGAUGAUUCUCAGAUGAUCAGGUUCACUGCAUCCUCUUGCCUGAUUUAACUUAGUAGAGGGUUGGCCAUGGAGAUAUCUUUACCUCUGUUGACUGAGUAAACUGUGUAGAGUGAAACUACAGCUGCUGGAUCACAUGUUUGUGUGUACAAGAGGGAAAUUACAGAUGGAUAUUGACUGUAAGUGUGGCGAAGGUGCUGGGAAGUAUUUGAAAUCACAUGAUUCUGAAAUGCUAUUGACAGGUGUCUUUAUUCCUUUACUUUAUUGAGUGUCCAAAUUGGCCAUAUAAUUGCUGAUAGAUGGAUGCAUCUCAAGCUUCAUGGCAGUAAAAGAAAAUCAUAAAGACUUACCAUUUAACUUAGAAACUCUUAUGGGAAUCCCACUUAACAAAUGUAUUACAGUGUAACUAAUGCAGGACAAUAGUUCACUCAAAUUAUUUUUUUAAUUUGCUUUGUUCGGGAGGGUUGGAUUUGUUUUAAAUGGUGCUUGAACUGUGCAGAUAUCUCUCCUGAUUCAGACAAGAUUACACUGAAGAAACCAGUAUUAUGAAUUGAGGACUCAUA